rnacentral:sRNA from 1 species
GUCCUUUUCUAUUAAUAUUAAGGCUGAGGAUCUUCGGCUCAUUUGGGCUUAUCAUCACGUCUAUUUGCAGAAUCAUACUUACUAGGUAUGCUUCCCAGUCAUACUUGAUGGGGAGGUUGAACAUUUUUCUAUGACUCCUCUCGCCCUUGCAAUAGUUGAACAACCCUUUCAGCCUGUCCUUCGACUCCAGAGCCCACCCAGUCUGUUUCAAGCAGCACUUGCUCCAACUCGUCACCCAUAUCAUCAUCCAGCUCGGAUAGCGCCAGAUAUAUCUCUUCAGAAGCCAUUGCACGUAUCUAUAAUCGCAUUAGAAUUAGGUUAAAAUCUACGACAUCGGGAUGAUGGACUUACCCGAGGGAAGCGGUGGGCAAGGAAUAACGGAACUAAGGAGGCGGCUUUUGAACGCACUUCCAAGGGAGCUGUCAGGCAAGCGAUAACACUGAAGGAUGCCAACAUUGUCAGCUAGGCUACAACCAAUUUAAAGCAGGAACACGCACACUCUCAUGGCGGCUGAUAUUCUCUCAAUAGACUUUAUGUUCCCCAGGCCUCUUGCUGCAGCGCCCAGAGACUUCAUAAGCCUGUAAAAGCUCCCUCAAUUUUCUCCCAUAUGUUGGCGGACAACAGCUUAUGCAGUGUUUGUAGCGUGGGUAUGAAUAUCCGGU